rnacentral:rRNA from 1 species
CCUACGGGUGGCAGCAGUGGGGAAUAUUGGGCAAUGGGCGCAAGCCUGACCCAGCAACGCCGCGUGAAGGAAGAAGGCUCUCGGGUUGUAAACUUCUUUUAGCAGGGAAGAAGCAAGUGACGGUACCUGAUGAAUAAGCCACGGCUAACUACGUGCCAGCAGCCGCUGUAAUACGUAGGGGGCAAGCGUUAUCCGGAUUUACUGGUUGUAAAGGGCGUGUAGGCGGGACAGCAAGUCAGAGGUGAAAACCAUGGGCUCAACCUGGGGACUGCAUUUGAUACUGUUUUUCUUGAGUACUGGAGAGGCAGGUGGAAUUCCUAGUGUAGCGGUGAAAUGCGUAGAUAUUAGGAGGAACACCAGUGGCGAAGGCGGUCUGCUGGACAGCAACUGACGCUGAGGCGCGAAAGCGUGGGGAGCAAACAGGAUUAGAUACCCUAGUAGUC